UUACGCCUACGGGGGGCAGCAGUCGGGAAUAUUGCGCAAUGGAGGGAACUCUGACGCAGUGACGCCGCGUAUAGGAAGAAGUUUUUCGGAAUGUAAACUAUUGUCGUUAGGGAAGAGAAAGGACGGUACCUAAGGAGGAAGCCCCGGCUAACUACGUGCCAGCAGCCGCGGUAAUACGUAGGGGGCAAGCGUUAUCCGGAUUUACUGGGUGUAAAGGGAGCGUAGACGGCGCGGCAAGUCUGAAGUGAAAGGCAGGGGCUUAACCCCUGAACUGCUUUGGAAACUGCCAUGCUAGAGUGCUGGAG
rnacentral:rRNA from 1 species